AAAACUACUAAGAAAAUUUGGGCUCUGUGCUGCAGUGAUGUCAUCUGGGAGCUGUAUUGUUCACCUAUUUUGUUCUGUGUGCUGUGAUUCAUUUCAUAAUAUGUACUGACCCUGAGAAAACCCUGCUAAAAUCUCACAGGCACCUAUCUCCACUUAAUCUCUCAGAAGCACAGCCACCAAAACAAUCAGAGUUCCAAUAUGGCCAUGCUCUUGAAAGGGAAGCACCUAAUACACAGCUCAUUUAUCAAGGCAAAAGUGUUUAACUAUGACCCUAAGCACAUGCUGCUGCUUGUUAGUUUAACUGAAGCUACACAAACAUGAUAAAAGUUAUAGGUAUAAUCCCCUGAAGAUGGAGAUGGGUUUCUCCUGUUGUUCAAGUGCUAACCUAGGACUCAGAAGAGAAGGAUUCAGUGUCCUGCUGUGCAACAGACUUCUGGAGCAAGCAGUGUGGUAUUUCAUUUUACCAUCUCUGACAAAGGCAUAAUUUCAUCUGUGUUCUGGGGUUUUUAUUCAGGUAAACAAAUGCAAAUGCUAAUGUUUUAAAGAAGAUAACAUUUAAGGUAGAGUUAUGUAAGAAUUUAUCGAGAUGCCUCUAUAUUUAAUAAUUUUAGCUAAAGACUGUAGCCUUUAUUCAGGCCUGAGUUUACAGUUUUCACUAUAUUAGGAAUUUUCCUUGACUAUGUAUGAAAAAAACCUAUUACUCUGGAACUUAACAAGAUACAAUUAUUCCUCUGUUAUGGUAUAGGAGGAAGUUCAGUUCCAAGGCCAGUAGCAAAAAAAUGUAUUAUUUAAAAAGGAAAGAAAAUACAGCCUGCUGGGCAUUCAUUUGCUUAGAGGAGUUCUUUGUAUUUACAGUUCUAGAAAAAAUAUUUCCUUGUAAAACAUUCAGUAAAUACUUAAAAGCAUACAACGUUCCUGCUUACUGGAGGGAGGCAACAAAGAGAAUACUCAAAGGAGAACUGAAACCAGAAAUAAUAAUGUAUAAUGGGGAAAAUUCCUGCCACUGUAGUUCAAGAAAGAAUAGUCGCCUUCAAAAGAUAAUUAAGAACUUUGGGGGACUGAAAUCACCUUCAAGGGACACUCUAGGACAUUUGGUUUCUCAAUUGGUGUAUCUCAGUUAGGUAUGUAAAAUUAAGUCAUUAUUAUUUUGCCCAUUUCCCUCCCACCUUUGUUUUAUUCUACUAUUGUUUGAAAAAAUUUAUCCAGUGUAAUAUAAAUGCAUUAGCUAUGACUCUCUUUUAUCUCCAAAAUCCUCAUGCUCUCCUCCUCCAAAUUUGUUGCUAACAGUUCCACUAAUGAGUCACCUUGAAAUCAUUUCACAAAUGUACUCUGAAAUGCCCAGCGUACUCAAGAGCAGGAGAAUUAUAUGCAUUUUAUGGCACUGUAGGAAGUUUUUAAAGGAUUUGAAUUAUUUCUUACUUGUGUCUUUUCUUCCCUUAAUGAGAAAAAGUAAGAAAAAACCAAACAAAACAACCGUACUCUUUCCCACAUUCUCCCUUUCAAUUUCUCCUCAGCAAGACUACAAUUCUCCAGAGCUGAUUUUCCUAAUAGAGUCCUCCCUGACUAUGUUGGACAAAUGUCAUGUCCCUUGGCUCUCUCCAUCUUGUAAUGAAAAUAGACCUAUUGCCAGCUACACCUUGCUGAUUGCUUCCUACCUGCUGCUAAGGAUAAUUUGUGCAGUGUAAAUGAAGACUUCAGUAGUUGCUGUAGGGGAAAAAAAGCUACAAAAAGGGACUGCUAUUCAGCACUCACAUAAAAUAGCCAAUAAAGAAACAGUUCUGGUUAGCUGAAAAUGCAUAAAGUGUAUAAAGUAUUAAAAGUUUUCAGAGUCUUAAUUAUACCAGACAUCAUAUAGAAGUAUUUUGCCCUGGAAAAUGAAUCACAUAUAUUUGCAUCUUUUCAUUUGCCUGAUCCUAUAUCAAGAAUUUUUGUGUAUUUGUUUUCUUCAUUGUCCUGUCAAAUAUUUCCUACUGGAUUGCUUCCUAUUGUUUGGAAGUAAGCAAUAAAAGGAAUUCACCAAUACUCCCCUUCAGAAUAUUGUGACCAUUAGGAAUGUAGAUGUUAGUGUUUGCUAUUUUCCCCCAUAUAUUCUUUCAGAUAACCUCUUACCUCUGAAAGAAUGAAAGAGACAGAAAGAAGCAUUACAUGUGGAUUACAGAAAAUGAUAAGAAAAUAUGAUUCCAAGUAGUGAUUUUCCUCCAGACCUUGGAGGUGAGCUCUGCCAGGUACCAUGGAGCUGCGUCAAUGUUCCGUACUGCUCUGCUGAGGUAAAUGGAAGUUUCCCAGAGUCUAGCAGUGCAGGAAUUAGACUCUCCAUCACGAGCAACUCUGCCAAUCAAUAAGGAAAGUGUCUAAAUUAAUGGCAACAUAAAAUGUUUAAAAAAAGCCCAAACAGUGUCAGGUAUCUGCUUCCCCGCAGUGCAGGGAACAUGACAGUGAGGAAGUCUUUUGGAUAAGCUGAAAAACUAUUUUACUCUGAGACUACUCCUGUGCGUUUAUGUCAUAUUUCUUUGUCACUCAACAACAUAUACUUGAAUUUAAAACUAAGGUGGUGUUCAAAAGCUCAUAUCAGAAUAAAAUUAAGGCUAAAAAAUAAACCUCAAGAAAUUGUAAAAAAUUAACAGCCAGCUAGGCCAUUCCUUGAUAAGAAUGUACUAUGGUGCUGUUGUAAAAAGAAUCCAAAAGCACAUGUAUGGUUAUUUAGUGCUAGUGUCAUUAAUGAUUUCCACACUGCAAAUGUUCCUUUUGCUCUUUUAGCAAAAGAGUGGUAGGAGAAGCAAGACAGAAGUGAGCAUUCACACAUAGCACUACAAAUAAAUAUCUCCCAUCCCUACAGACUCUCACAUUAGUUUUUUUCUUAUCUGCCAUUUAACAUUGUGAGAGUUCCUUUUAAGUCAAUAAUGCAUUUUGGGAUGUGAAUUCAUACAAAAUGGAAAAUGAAAACAAUAGAAGUUUCAGAAUUAAAGGUCUGUUUCUUGGGCUGUAAAUCUUUUGACUUCAUAGUUUAGAAUAAUGUGAUAGAUGACAUGAAAUUUUUAUUAGAUAAUAUAUAAUACAGAACAAAUAAUUAAUAGACAAAAUUUUAUUACAAGUUCUGCUUCCUGAGCUUCUCAAUUGGUUGGGUCUUCUAAUGGUUCCAGUUGGUUUUUGUAGACUCUGACUAUUUUAAGUUAGUGGAUUUCUUGUCUCUUUGAAGGUUAAGAAAUUACAAAGCAGUAAAAGCAUGGCUGUGUUUUGAUUUAUUUUUUUUAAUAUUGAAACAGAAAAACAAGAGAAAGAAGGGAGUUGCUUUCUUAUGAAUAUUUUCUCAAGAUCUUAAUGUCAUAAAAGGAACAUCUGAUCUUGGGAAACAAGAGGUGAUUAGAAAAAAAAGUCAGUAAUUGAAUGUAGAGAUUCCAUAUAUCCCUUGACACCCA